rnacentral:rRNA from 1 species
AGCGAACGCUGGCGGCAGGCCUAACACAUGCAAGUCGAGCGCCCCGCAAGGGGAGCGGCAGACGGGAGAGUAACACGUGGGAACGUACCCUUUGGUUCGGAACAACCCAGGGAAACUCGGGCUAAUACCGGAUAAGCCCUUACGGGGAAAGAUUCAUCGCCGAGGGAUCGGCCCGCGUCUGAUUAGCUAGUUGGUGGGGUAACGGCCCACCAAGGCGACGAUCAGUAGCUGGUCUGAGAGGAUGAUCAGCCUCACUGGGACUGAGACACGGCCCAGACUCCUACGGGAGGCAGCAGUGGGGAAUAUUGGACAAUGGGCGCAAGCCUGAUCCAGCCAUGCCGCGUGGGUGAUGAAGGCCCUAGGGUUGUAAAGCCCUUUCGGCGGGGAAGAUAAUGACGGUACCCGCAGAAGAAGCCCCGGCUAACUUCGUGCCAGCCGCCGCGGUAA